rnacentral:rRNA from 1 species
GAUGAACGCUAGCGGCAGGCCUAAUACAUGCAAGUCGAACGGUAGAUUUGGUAGCAAUACUGAAUUGAGAGUGACGUAAGGGUGCGUAACACGUAUGCAAUCUGCCCUCAACAGGAGUAUAGCUCGGGGAAACUCGGGUUAACCCUCCAUAAGAUCUUAGGGUGGCAUCACCUAGAGAUUAAAACUUCGGUGGUUGAGGAUGAGCAUGCGCAUGAUUAGUUAGUUGGAGGUGUAACGGACCCCCAAGACGAUGAUCAUUAGGGGAACUGAGAGGUUGAUCCCCCACACUGGCACUGAGAUACGGGCCAGACUCCUACGGGAGGCAGCAGUAGGGAAUAUUGGUCAAUGGGUGAGAGCCUGAACCAGCCAUGCCGCGUGCAGGAAGACGGCCUUCUGGGUUGUAAACUGCUUUUAUCUGGGGAUAAAAAGACCGUGCGCGGUUAAUUGAAGGUACCAGAUGAAUAACGCACCGGCUAACUACGUGCCAGCAG